rnacentral:rRNA from 1 species
GAUGAACGCUAGCUACAGGCUUAACACAUGCAAGUCGAGGGACCGGCGCACGGGUGAGUAACACGUAUCCAACCUGUCCUUUACUCGGCGAUAGCCUUUCGAAAGAAAGAUUAAUACCCGAUUCAAAGGAUGGGGAUGCGUUCCAUUAGGUUGUUGGUGAGGUAACGGCUCACCAAGACUUCGAUGGAUAGGGGUUCUGAGAGGAAGGACACCCACAUUGGAACUGAGACAAGGUCCAAACUCAUACGGGAGGAAGCAGUGAGGAAUAAUGGUCAAUGGGCGGUAGCCUGAACCAGCCAAGUAGCGUGAAGGAUGAAGGCUUAUGGGUCAUAAACUUCUUUUAGAUAAGAAUAUGUAUUAUAUGAAUAAGGAUCGGCUAACUCCGUGCCAGCAGCCGCGGUAAUUC